GAGAUGAUCAGGUAGAUAGGUCAGGAGUGGAAGUACAGUGAUGUAUGGAGCGGACUGAUACUAAUCGAUCGAGGACUUAACCAAU
rnacentral:rRNA from 1 species